rnacentral:rRNA from 1 species
GGGGAAUAUUGGACAAUGGGCGCAAGCCUGAUCCAGCCAUGCCGCGUGAGUGAUGAAGGCCCUAGGGUUGUAAAGCUCUUUUGCCUGGGAAGAUAAUGACUGUACCAGGAGAAUAAGCCCCGGCUAACUUCGUGCCAGCAGCCGCGGUAAUACGAAGGGGGCUAGCGUUGUUCGGAAUCACUGGGCGUAAAGCGCACGUAGGCGGAUUGUUAAGUCGGGGGUGAAAUCCUGAGGCCCAACCUCAGAACUGCCUUCGAUACUGGCAAUCUCGAGUUCGGAAGAGGUUGGUGGAACAGCUAGUGUAGAGGUGAAAUUCGUGGAUAUUAGCUAGAACACCAGUGGCGAAGGCGGCCAACUGGUCCGAUACUGACGCUGAGGUGCGAAAGCGUGGGGAGCAAAC